rnacentral:rRNA from 1 species
UACAGGGGGGGCAAGCGUUGUUCGGAAUUACUGGGCGUAAAGGGCCAGUAGGCGGCCAACUAAGUCCGACGUGAAAUCCCUAGGCUUAACCUAGGAACUGCGUCGGAUACUGGAUGGCUUGAAUUCGGGAGAGGGAUGCAGAAUUCCAGGUGUAGCGGUGAAAUGCGUAGAUAUCUGGAGGAACACCUGCGGUGUAGACGGCUUGCUGGACCACAACUGACGCUGGGGCACGAAAGCGUGGGGAGCAAACAGG